GCCUUCGUGGUGUAGUGGUCAGCACGCUCGACGCGUAACUGAGAGGCCCGUGGUUCGAUUCCCGGCGAAGGAG
rfam:Stegodyphus mimosarum contig121242, whole genome shotgun sequence.